rnacentral:rRNA from 1 species
CGCCUCUCCUUGGACAGCCUUCUGAAAGGAAGAUUAAUACAAGAUGGCAUCAUGAGUCCGCAUGUUCACAUGAUUAAAGGUAUUCCGGUAGACGAUGGGGAUGCGUUCCAUUAGAUAGUAGGCGGGGUAACGGCCCACCUAGUCUUCGAUGGAUAGGGGUUCUGAGAGGAAGGUCCCCCACAUUGGAACUGAGACACGGUCCAA